CCCCUCCCAGUGCUCCAGGACCUGCCUCACUGAAUUCCUGACCCUGAUCGCAGUCUACCCUGUCGGGCUGGGGCACUUGGGCCGUGUCACCUCAGUGUGGGCCUAGACAAGGGAGCUCAUGGCAUGUCCUCCCUCCUGAAGCAGAGUACCUUUUGCUUGUUCAGUGAAGCAUAGUGUCAUUGGCCAGGCGCAGUGACUCACGCCUGUAAUCCCAGCACUUUGGGAGGCCGAGGUGGCGGAUCACCUGAGGUCGGGAGUUUGAGACCAGCCUGGCCAACAUGGCAAAACCCUGUCUCUACUAAAAAUACAAAAAAUUAGCCAGGCGUGGUGGUGGGCACCUGUUCUCCCAGCUACUCGGGAGUCUGAGGCAGGAGAAUCUCUUGAACGUGGGAGGUAGAGGCUGCAGUGAGCCGAGAUUGUGCCACUGCACUCCAGCCUGGGUGACAGAGUGAGACUCUAUCUCAAAAACAAACAAAAAAACAGCAACAAAAAACCGUAGCAUCAUUGUCACAUGUCAGGAAGCUCCAUUGUAAAAUAUAAAAAUAAUUUAAAACAAAAUAAACAUAUAAUAAUAAUUUAGGCCAGGCGCAGUGGCUCACGCCUGUAAUCCCAGCACUUUGGGAGGUUGAGGCGGGUGGAUCGCCUGAGGUCGGGAGUUCAAGACCAGCCUGGCCAACAUGGUGAAACUCCAUCUCUACUAAAAAUACAAAAAUCAGCCAGGCGUGGUGGCGCGAGCCUGUAAUCCCAGCUACUGGGGAGGCUGAGGCAGGAGAAUCGCUUGAACCCGGGAGGUUGAGGUUGCAGUGAGCUGAGAUCAGGCCAUUGCACUCCAGCCUGGGCAACAAGAGCGAGACUCCGUCUCAAAUAAUAAUAAUAAUUUAAAACAAAAU
rnacentral:lncRNA from 1 species